CGAAAGCCUGACGGAGCAAUACCGCGUGAGGGAGGAAGGCUCUUGGGUUGUAAACCUCUUUUCUCAGGGAAGAAAAAUGACGGUACCUGAGGAAUAAGCAUCGGCUAACUCCGUGCCAGCAGCCGCGGUAAUACGGAGGAUGCAAGCGUUAUCCGGAAUGAUUGGGCGUAAAGCGUCCGCAGGUGGCAAUGUAAGUCUGCUGUCAAAGCGUCUGGCUCAACCAGAUAAAGGCAGUGGAAACUACAUAGCUAGAGUAAGGUAGGGGUAGAGGGAAUUCCUGGUGUAGCGGUGAAACGCGUAGAGAUCAGGAAGAACACCGGUGGCGAAGGCGCUCUGCUGGACCGCAACUGACACUCAGGGACGAAAGCUAGGGGAGCGAAUGGGAUUAGAU
rnacentral:rRNA from 1 species